rnacentral:rRNA from 1 species
UACGUAGGGGUCGAGCGUUGUCCGGAUUUAUUGGGCGUAAAGGGUGGGCAGGUGGCCGGUGAUGUGCCGUGUGAAAGCGCCGAAGUCAUGUCGGCGAGGUCGCGGUAGACACAUCGGCUUGAGGCAGUGAGGGGGCAGUGGAAUUCCCGGUGUAGUGGUGAAAUGCGUAGAUAUCGGGAGGAACACCAGUGGCGCAAGCGGCUGCCUGGCACUGACCUGACACUGAGCCACGACGGCGUGGGGAGCAAACGGG